rnacentral:rRNA from 1 species
AGAGUUUGAUCCUGGCUCAGAACGAACGCUGGCGGCGUGCCUAACACAUGCAAGUCGUACGAGAAAUCCUGGGCAACUGGGAGAGUAAAGUGGCGCACGGGUGAGUAACGCGUGGGUAACCUACCCUUAAAUUGGGGAUAACUCUUCGAAAGGGGAGUUAAUACCGAAUAAUAUUUCAAUUCCUUCGGGAGUUGGAAUCAAAGGUGGCCUCUGCUUGCAAGCUAUCGUUUAAGGAUGGGCCCGCGUACCAUUAGCUAGUUGGUAGGGUAAUGGCCUACCAAGGCAACGAUGGUUAGCUGGUCUGAGAGGAUGGCCAGCCACACUGGAACUGAGAUACGGUCCAGACUCCUACGGGAGGCAGCAGUGGGGAAUCUUGCGCAAUGGGGGAAACCCUGACGCAGCAACGCCGCGUGGGUGAUGAAGGCCUUCGGGUCGUAAAGCCCUGUCAGGUGGGAAGAAACUUCUGGAUGUUAAUACCAUCCACUAUUGACGGUACCACCGGAGGAAGCACCGGCUAACUCCGUGCCAGCAGCCGCGGUAAUACGGAGGGUGCAAGCGUUGUUCGGAAUUAUUGGGCGUAAAGCGCGUGUAGGUGGUCAGGUAAGUCAGAUGUGAAAGCCUUCUGCUUAACAGAAGAAGUGCAUUUGAAACUGCUUGGCUAGAGUACGGGAGAGGAGAGUGGAAUUCCCGGUGUAGAGGUGAAAUUCGUAGAUAUCGGGAGGAACACCAGUGGCGAAGGCGGCUCUCUGGUCCGAUACUGACGCUGAGACGCGAAAGCGUGGGGAGCAAACAGGAUUAGA